GGGCAGGAGCACCACCACAAUUAAUCUGACCAUCUCGACAGUCACUCAAAGACGAAACAAACCACAAUACCAUCAAACAGAAGAUUUCUACAGAUAACUGAAAGACAAAACUCAUCUCAACACAUCAACAAGAAGAUCCAGACUGACCUCGAGACUGUGGAAGUCCAGAGUUUCACCUGGUGUCUCCUGCCCCAGGAUCAGAUCGGGAGAAUGAUGGAUAGAAGAAAGCAAGCUGAGGUCAAAAGACAGCGAUAUUUCAGACGACCGAUGGAGGUUUCUGAGGAUGAAGAUGAAGAGAUGUGGAUACACAGAGAUAAAAACGCCAUCAUCAGCAUUACUGAUUUAAACAGGAAGACAUAUGUUGAAAAAGUAGUUCAUCGG